rnacentral:lncRNA from 1 species
UAUAAAUGUUGUGCACAUCACAGUCAUUUCAUUUCGUCUUUCAGGAAAUAUAGAUAAAUGAAUAGCGCACCCGCUUUCGGUAUAAUUGAUAACUGUUUACUCUUUUAUAGGUAUAGAUUAAAGGGUGUGAAAAAGUUAAUGGCCUGUUGAUUUCUAAUAAUUUUAUCUAAUAAACCAUUUAAAACAGCUAUGUACAUUAGCGAAACGAUGUCAGAUGGUGAUAAAAUAAAUGUUGGCCUGUGCUAGUAUAUGUAUCUAUAGAGAAACUUGUGCAUGGAGAUAGCGGGACUUUUCCUUGAAGAAUUCAAAUCCUUGACAGGUUUAACGUGUCAAAGUAACAAUUAAUGUGUUUUCAUUUAACAUGUAAGAUCAGGGUAGGAAUGGGGGUACCUUAAUGACGUUUAACGGUAAAAAUUCUAACCAAAGACGUUAACGCUAAUUUUUAGUGAAUGACGAUAACAUGUACACUUUCUUUUAGACGAUAAAAAAAUCAGAUGAAUUUGACGAAUCACGCUAUUUUUUCCCAAAAAUAACGGUAACGAUAAUUAUUUAAGACAUCGGACGAAUCACGGUAAAAAAUUAUACAUUUGACGCUUACGGUAGCCGAAAAUGACCGUUUAACGCCUGACGGUAAAGGGCAUUACCUCCCUCAUGUAAUACACAUACACAAACACAAAAAAAAAGAACGAAAUAUUCGUAUUUAUUCAAUAACUACUGUAAAGUUUUCCGUCACGAUAUUUUGUUUUUUUUUGUUUUUUGUCCGAUUGUACGAAUGUCCGUGUUAUUAUAUAUUCACUGAUGAAUGGAAUAUAUAUACACAUUCCAAAAAAUAUAUAUAAGGAACUGUUGUAAUGUUCGAAAUGAAUUAGCGACCGAGAUUGGACAAAAUAAUGACACUUAGCUUAUAAAUACAAUUAACGUAGAACGAUUGUUUGACAGUAAUGAAUAAAUAUCUUAUAUGUUCUUGUCUGUUCUAUGUUUUCUAUUCCAUAAGUUAGGCAUCCGACCCUACCUAUAAUUUUUCACAUGUACAGUAAGUUAUUAUAUGUAGUCCUGUCGCAGUAUAAGGUUUAAAAACCUAAUGAUAAACUUUUGUCAAAAAUAUCCUUUCAUUUUUAAUAGACUUAAAUAAUUUGCAAUUUGCUAAUUUUCUUCGAUUACUAAAAACGUUGAUCUCCUUUUCGGUUCUUUUCGGUCCUUUUCGGUUCUUUUUGGUCCUUUUUGGUCCUUUUCGGUUCUUUUCUGUAAAUCGUCGCUCUUUUCUGUAAGUCGUCGAAC